rnacentral:rRNA from 1 species
UCAGGACGAACGUUGGCGGCGUGCCUAACACAUGCAAGUUGAGCGUGGCCUUAGUUUACUAAGGUCUAGCAGCGGACGGCAGAGUAAUGAACAGGAACGUACCUCGAGGUGGGGGAUAGCCUUUCGAAAGAAAGGGUAAUACCGCAUGUGGUCGCAAGACCAAAGCUCCGGAAUAAAACCCGGGGCGCCACGAGAACGGCCUGUUUCCUAUCAGGUAGUUGGUGGGGUAAAAGCCUACCAAGCCUAUGACGGGUAGCUGGUCUGAGAGGAUGAUCAGCCUGAUCGGGACUGAGACACGGCCCGAACUCCUGCGGGAGGCAGCAGUUGGGAAUUUUGCACAAUGGACGAAAGUCUGAUGCAGCGACGCCGCGUGGAGGAUGAAGGUCUUCGGAUCGUAAACUCCUUUUACGAGGGAGUAAAUUAUGAAAGUACCUCGUGAAUAAGCACCGGCUAACUCCGUGCCAGCAGCCGCGGUAAUACGGAGGGUGCUAACGUUGUCCGGAAUUACUGGGCGUAAAGAGCAUGUAGGUGGCCAUGUAAGUCAAUGAUGAAAGACCGACGCUUAACGUCGGAUCCGUUCUUGAUACUGCAUGGCUCGAGGAUAGCAGGGGUAUGCGGAACUUUGAGUGUAGGAGUGAAAUCCGUAGAUAUUCAAAGGAACACCAAUGGCGAAGGCAGCAUACUGGGCUAUUUCUGACACUGAGAUGCGAAAGCGUGGGGAGCGAACGGGAUUAGAUACCCCGGUAGUCCACGCCGUAAACGUUGCUCACUAGGUCUUGGGAGGUAUCGACCCCUCUUUGGACCGAAGCUAACGCGUUAAGUGAGCCGCCUGGGGAGUACGAACGCAAGUUUAAAACUCAAAGGAAUUGACGGGGACCCGCACAAGUGGUGGAGCGUGUGGUUUAAUUCGAUACUAAGCGAAGAACCUUACCCAGGCUUGACAUCCCGAGAAAGUCCCUGAAAGGGGACCGUGCCGCAAGGAGCUCGGUGACAGGUGUUGCAUGGUUGUCGUCAGCUCGUGCUGUGAAGUGUCCCGUUAAGUCGGUUAACGAGCGCAACCCGCAUCCUGUGUUGAAUUUCUCACAGGAAACCGCCUCAGUUAAUGGGGAGGAAGGUGCGGAUGACGUCAAAUCAGCAUGGCCCUUACGCCUGGGGCUACACACGCGCUACAAUGGGUAGUAACAAUGGGUCGCGAAGCCGCGAGGCGGAGCUAAUCCUACCAAACCUACCCUCAGUUCGGAUUGGAGGCUGCAACUCGCCUCCAUGAAGCCGGAAUCACUAGUAACGGCCGGUCAGCCAUACGGCCGUGAAUACGUUCUCGGGUCUUGUACACACCGCCCGUCAAACCACGAAAGUCGGGAGCGCCCGAAGGACUGCGCAAGCGGUACUACGGUGAGUUCGAUGAUCAGGGUUAAGUCGUAACAAGGUA